GAUUAAGUGUGCGUUUAUGAGAAGACCAUGCAAAAUCCUGAAAAAUCGACAAGGUGGGGGGUCAGCGAAUUAAGUUCAAAUCUUGGCCAUUUGAUCCCCACCUGAGACGAUACCACUCGGUGGAGUAGCUCGAUAAAUAAUCACACGGUGGCCGAGUACGGGGCACCGACAAUUUUGAGCAAAAAGGGUGACUUCCGGGGAGUAAAUUUGUGUUGUUUCUGGUGUAAAGUUAUAGCCUCGUUUAUACCCUUAAACUAAAUCGUUUACUGUCGACCUACAUAUCAAAAGAGAGGAUUUAAUCUCCUCUAAACGAUGAAAUAUAAAUCUUUGAUAUGCAAGCAUUUACUGCGGAGAUAUAGGCGUAAGAAAAACACGUAUCAGCUCUAUUACGAAAUGAAGUCCUUUACGCGGUAAACCAUAACUUAAUUAAUGCAGGGCUGAGAGUCAACAAACUUGGAGGAAAUAUAGUUCAGAUAUCAGACUACAAUAAUAAAAAAUAAAAAAACUGUCAGCUCUUCUUGUUUUUGUUUGCUCACGGUCAACAAAGUUGAAAAAUUCCUAAUUUUCAAGACCAAACCUACAUAGCCCCCUAGACAGUUCCGAGUGCAAUUGGUUGCCCUUAAUUGACAUUUUGCAGGAAUUGUUGUAAGAGCGUAACAAAAUGUACAUUUUGCAGACUUCACCUAUUGGGUGGGUGGGUGAGUGGGCUACCUUUGGUGGUGCGCACUGAUCCGGUAGGAGGGGAACGUCCUGUUGCCGCCCACCCAGUUAGCGCGCGGUAUCGAAAGAGGGCGCCCUCGCAUUACAUUACCGUCAAAAUGGCAGCCAUGGACAUGCCGUCUGUGCGGCUGCAAUGUGAUUUUAGUAAUUUUGAGUAUAGCAAAGCCAUCGAAUGUGGUGUAAAUCCCUCUUAUCUGCGCGAACUAAAUACAGUGCAACUUAAUCGAUGCACAAAAGACAUACGGAGCCAUUUGCAGAAGUGGAAAGUCGCUGCAUGUGAUGUGAAUGUCGAGUGGAAACUGAUCCUCCUGCGAUGUGGUUUGUUCGACGUCGAUGCAUACACUGAUAAGACAAUACGUCCAGCGCAUAGAUACAAGGUAGGGUUGAGUUGGACAUCAUCAAGGAAAUGUUGUCAUCCACUCCAUAAAGGGAAAGGCAAACCAUUCCGUGGUGUGAAUAAAGCAACUAGCCGUGAGAUCAUAGAUGUUUGAUCGAUGGGGUACCAUGAUCACUGUUGGAACAGGUAUCUGUAGAGGUUGUCUAUCUUAGCACAAACAAGCAGUUACGCACCAGACAGCGGAACGAUUACCAUCUAGCGAUGUGCUCUCUAAGGAACAAGAAGAGCAGCAGUGUACAAUCAGUGAUUUCACAUCGCCGGCUGGUGUACCAUCUCUCCAACCCACCGACACAGCGUGCACUUCAGUUCAUGAGCAUACAUCUGAGUCCUCAUCAACUGAUGGAGAUAUUACACAGGAUGUAGGUGCACUUGACUCUUCUUGGGCUCCAACCCCCUGACCAAAGAAUGUGGAGCUGCAAUCCCUGAACACUUUCCUUACUCAGGGGGGAAUGUCUGCUGUUGAUGGGCAGCUUCAUCUGUCAUUAGAAUAAGCAUCUGAUAGCACCAUCCAUUAUUAUAGAAGGAAGGCAAAGGAAGCCUUUGGUUUAGUUCUUCAUUGGUUAGCACCACGUCAAGAAGAUGGGCUCAUGAAGAUUACAAUCGGUGAAACAACUGCUGAAUCAUCACAAAGUGGUCAAAAUUUUGAUAGUAGUGCCCGUUUUCAUUUUUUUUUAUUGCAUCCUUUUUUACCAACAUUUUUGCAUUAGUGGUUCCAUGUUCUCUUCCUUUACGUAUUUUGUGUUUAAACAAAGGGUUAUCAUGGUUUGUUAUUGGAAGACAUUGACUGUUCUUGUUUUUAUGCCCCGCGGCGAAGCCGAAGGGGCAUACUGUUUCCGCCUUGUCCUUC
rnacentral:lncRNA from 1 species